rnacentral:rRNA from 1 species
GACGAACGCCGGCGGCGUGCUUAACACAUGCAAGUCGAGCGGUAAGGCCCUUUCGGGGGUACACGAGCGGCGAACGGGUGAGUAACACGUGGGUGACCUGCCCUCAGCUCUGGGAUAAGCCCGGGAAACUGGGUCUAAUACCGGAUAUGACUCCAUGACGCAUGUUGUGGGGUGGAAAGCCUUGUGCGGCUGAGGAUGGGCCCGCGGCCUAUCAGCUUGUUGGUGGGGUGAUGGCCACCAAGGCGACGACGGGUAGCCGGCCCGAGAGGGCGACCGGCCACACUGGGACUGAGACACGGCCCAGACUCCUACGGGAGGCAGCAGUGGGGAAUCUUGCGCAAUGGGCGAAAGCCUGACGCAGCGACGCCGCGUGAGGGAUGACGGCCU